AGUAUGGUAGCUUAAGAUAAAGCGGUAGAUUGUAAAUUUAUUGAUAAUUUAUUUCAUCUAA
rnacentral:tRNA from 1 species